rnacentral:rRNA from 1 species
AUACGGAGGAUGCGAGCGUUAAUCGGAAUUACUGGGCGUAAAGCGUACGUAGGCGGUUUGCUAAGUCAGAUGUGAAAGCCCCGGGCUUAACCUGGGAACUGCAUUUGAUACUGGCAGACUAGAGUAUGAUAGAGGGGGGUAGAAUUCCUGGUGUAGCGGUGAAAUGCGUAGAUAUCGGGAGGAAUACCAGUGGCGAAGGCGGCCCCCUGGAUAAAUACUGACGCUGAGGUACGAAAGCGUGGGGAGCGAACAGGAUUAGAAACCCUAGUAGUCC